GCAGUGAGGUACUCGAGAAUGGCGGCACUGUACACAGCUGCAGUGGCUCCAACUCUGCCGUGGCUGGUGGUUCUGGACUUGAGAUGUCUGUGGAUACGACCCACUGGGAACUGCAGGAACAAAAGAGUGUUAAGGGCCCUUGGUGCUUGCUGGCGGUAGCACAGUUGCAUUAUAAGCUUGACUGAAUGAAGACUAGAGGAGAGGAGGAAAACGACAACCAACCUGCAGCCCAGCUCGCUGUGAGCGCGAAAUAGCCUUCGUCUUGGUCUUUCCGGAGUCUUUGCCCGCCUUGCCACCAGCCUGAACAACAAGCAUCCGUUGAUCUUUCCCAGCCGGGGCCAAGACGAGGCAGAGUCCUGAAAUGUUUCCAGAAGUGUGCAGGGAAUGUUGGCCAUUACCGGACACUUCAAUAAUACAGUCUUUUGAGUGAAGCAGGAAGCAGAAGUCAAAUUGGCCUGAGUGGGGAUCUCAUAGGUUGCCUGCACAUCCAGUGUAUUUCGGCAAUAAUCCAACAAAAUAUGAGUGGAAAUCCCAUGCACACAUGGGAGGAUGCAAAAGACCGAGAGGGAGAGCCUAGAGGAAGAAGGGACGGGCAGAGAGCGUGAGAAAGUAUGAUGUCACAACUCUCUGCAAGGACCCGAGGGCGACAUAGCAUUUGGUGAUAAAACAUUGCAGCACUCUUCUACCACACAGUAGACAAAUAAUUGGAAUUGUCUUACUAAAAUACUCUUCUAUACACAUAUUUGGCACUGACUUAGGCCACUCUAGGUAACCAUUGUUUUGCUGCAUAUGCUGACAGUUGCACUACUUUUUCCAUUUACAUGCAUCUUGCCUUGAUUAAUAAUCCUAAACAGUAUCAAUGAAGAGACAUGUGGCACAGAGCUAUUCCAUAAUCAACACUUUUAUUGCUUGUAGUAAGAAAAAAAUGCAAUAAAGUAUCAAUUGAG